AUAUUUUACCACAGUAAAAGUCAGCCUUGUACUAAUAUUCAUACAACCCCUCAGUAUGGACACGUAAGGCCAAAAUUUAAGAGAGAAACUUAUCCUAAAAUAAAAAACCAACAAGGGCUUUAUGUUUCUAUUUUUGCUACAGUUCUCUCACCAUUUAAAACAUAUACGGUUAGAAAGACAUUUAAAUGUUGGCAUCACACAGGAAGCUCACCUCAAAUUUAUUGUUGACAUUUAAAAGUGGUGCUAAUUUAUAUGCAGCUCCUUCUGGCUACUUAAUUUGUUAUAUUCAUUAUACAAUUGAAUAAAAACAAACAAAACAAAACAAAACAAAACAACACCUCAUACCUCCUCCCUAAAAACCUGUUUUGACAUCUUCCCAAAAUUUAGCAACUAUCUAAAUGUCCUCUUACUUUUUACUUUCGCUGGAUUGAAACCUUUUUCACAACUUGGUUCUCUAAAGAAUUCUUGCCCCCCACCCACAACACAACAUGAUAGGUUGAAUGAGGUCACAGAGCUAUAGGCUGCCAAUCCUGGUGAAAAAAAUUUUCCUUUCAGUCCUGGAUUUAUGUGGAAAUAAUUACAUCGGUAAGGAGAUCCAAGGUGAGUGGUAAUACACAAAUGCCAGGUACGCUUCUGGACAGCUCAAGUGGAGCCAAAACUUCAGAGCAACAAUUCUAUAAGUAUCAGCCACAGCAGCCCAUGGCAGGCCAUCAUCAGAAGGGGUAGCGUUCAUGCUUUCUUGGUUACAGUAACACAUCAGGGGGACAUCUUCUAACACUGUCGGUUAAAUGACAGGAGUUAUGCAAAACCAUAGAUGUUUCCAAACAGGCAGGGACUGUAGAGGUCAAUGAAGAACUCUUGUUUGUGUGGCUGAGCUCAUUAAUCUUCAAUCAGAAAACAAAAUGACAGUGGGAACAAGCUACCGGCAGACAUGGUUCAUGUAGCACACAAGACUGAUCAUCUCCGUUGCAAAAGAAUAUGAAUGUAAAUUUCAGACAUGACAGCAUUUGACACACUCCCUUUUAAUUUACUGCAGAAAUAAUAUGAACAUCUGGGAAAAUGUUAGUGCUAAAUAUCUUGUGAAGUAAGCCAUUCUUAGAAAGGGAUUUGUGACUUUGAAGUAAUAUAUAAUUAGCAAGAUUUUAAAAAUUAUUCUUAUGUACUGAAACUCAAAACAGACCAGCCUCUUUCUUGUCAAAAUGGCUGGCAAGCAGGCCGUUUCAGCAUCAGGCAAGUGGCUGGAUGGUAUUCGAAAAUGGUAUUACGAUGCUGCAGGAUUCAAUAAACUGGGGUUAAUGCGAGAUGAUACAAUAUACAAGGAUGAAGACGUAAAAGAAGCCACAAGAAGCCUUCCUGAGAAUCUUUAUAAUGACAGGAUGUUUCGCAUUAAGAGGGCACUGGACCUGACCAUGAAGCAUCAGAUCUUGCCUAAAGAGCAGCGGACCAAAUAUGAAGAGGAAAAUUUCUACCUUGAACCAUAUCUGAAAGAGAUUAUUCGGGAAAGAAAAGAAAGAGAAGAAUGGGCAAAGAAAUAAUCAUGUAGUUGAAGUCUGUGGAUGCAGCUGUUAUGAAGAUGGUUAAACUUGAAACAAACAAUUUUAAGAAUUAUUUGGUCUGCAGAUGUUUUACUUUAAAUAAAAGUCUAUUGUAAUGGCUGGAAAAAAAAAA